AGAGUUUGAUCAUGGCUCAGAUUGAACGCUGGCGGCAUGCUUUACACAUGCAAGUCGAACGGCAGCACAGGGAGCUUGCUCCCGGGUGGCGAGUGGCGCACGGGUGAGUAAUACAUCGGAACGUGUCCUGUUGUGGGGGAUAACUGCUCGAAAGGGUGGCUAAUACCGCAUGAGACCUGAGGGUGAAAGCGGGGGAUCGCAAGACCUCGCGCAAUUGGAGCGGCCGAUGCCCGAUUAGCUAGUUGGUGAGGUAAAGGCUCACCAAGGCGACGAUCGGUAGCUGGUCUGAGGAGGACGACCAGCCACGACGUGGGACUGAGGCACCGGCCCAGACCUCCGUACGGGAGCA
rnacentral:rRNA from 1 species